GURYACACCGCCCGUCGCUCCUACCGAUUGAAUGUUCCGGUGAAUUAUUCGGACUGUGUCUUAUUAGUAAUAGUAAGAUAUGGGAAGUCUUGUGAACCUUAACAUUUAGAGGAAGGAAAAGUCGUAACAAGGUUUCYGUAGGUGAACCUGCAGAAGGAUCA
rnacentral:rRNA from 1 species